CUCUUUGUUUCUUCCUACGUGGACUCUCUACAAUUCCUUUCUCUUUUUCUGACGCUCUCACCUCUCUCCCUAUUUCUCCAAUAUACGUUUCUCUAAUAGAACGUGUUCUGCAGAAAUAAAAGAAGCCAAAAAAACAGACGAUCUCAAAGUCGUUUCUGUCUAUGUUUGCUGCUCCCCUUCUCUAUUUCCAUCUCCCAAUUAACCAUGCCCGGCGACAAUAAAGACGAUAUAUGUUUGCUUUGUGGUGAUGGGGUUCAGGGCGACGAUGGAAUGUCGAUUUCAGUGAUGUUUCAACUGUUGCUUCCUCCCGUGACAUCCCUAAUCCUCCCGAUUUCUCUCAUGCCUCUCAAGAUCAGGUUGAUUCCACGCUAAGUCAGCAAAAGAAGGAUGCCAAGGCCAAUUGGAAAGCUCAGAUCGUACGGGGAAAUGAAGUCAUGUCGAUGAUUGAAUUCAUGAAUCUUAUUUCAAUUUCCUGAUUUAGGUGACUUUGAAAUGAUUUGCAAUGGAGGAGACAAGAUUGAAACUAUUGGAUAGACCACCAAUGUUUUACCCUUUUUACCCGGGGCUUUGCUGUGGGUUAAAGCUUGCUGGAUUUGGUGCACUGAUUGAGGAGAAGCGAAAUCAAAUAUAGGAAGCACAGGCAGCGUACACAUGAAUUACUUCUGAAAUCUGAACUGCAUGGUUGUUUACAAAGGUCAUGCUCCCUACCUCUAUUCUAACACUUCUCCUCUAUGUUUCAAAGGUCUCUUCUCUUUGUUUUGAUUUCUCCAUACAUCAUAUAUUUGGCACUAUCACAGUGAAGGAUUCCCACACUUAUCAUCUAUGUUUCAAAGGUAUCUCUUCUCUAUAUUUUGAUUUCUGCAUUCCUCAUCUUUAGAACUAUUAAUUAAAGUGAAGGAAAUCCAAAUGGGGGUUCCUUUUCUAAAAUCGAUGGCUCUAUGAUUUCUCGGAUUCACUGAUGUCAACAGGUCAAUGCUUCUCCAAGAAACGUCCUAUGAUCUCUCCGUUCACUCUUCCCUUCGAGAUAUUGAACAAAAGAGCAGUUAGGCUAUGGAAAAUGAAUGGCAUGUUUCUGAUGUCAGGACUGGGGAUAUUGUGGAGAUUAAAGUGGAAGUUCCUGAAAAUAGGCGUAGAUUGUCUGUCUGUCUACAAAGGUAUUGUUAUGUCUAGACAAAAUGCCGGCGUCCGCACCACCAUUUGGAUCUGAAGAAUUGUUGUUGGCGUAGCGGUUCAAAUUGUCUUCCCUCUGCAAGUAUUACCCUGCCAUCAUUUCUAAGGCUUAGGUCAUGACUAUUUGUUUUAGCUAGCUAGAAAAAAUAAUAGCAAAGUUAUCUUUGGCCAAAUAAUGUUGUAUGAUGAAUUAUGUGAUAAUGUAAAUUUGUGCCGCUGGACAUGGAAAAGGCCAGUCUGGUGUUGCCAUGGCAAUGAAUGCUUAUAUAUUUGAAAAGAAAAUUUAGUGAUAGUUGCUUACGAAUA